rnacentral:lncRNA from 1 species
GGGAAUGUUUUCUUGCUCUGAUGUAUCAAGUUGCCAUGGGGGUGAUCUAGAGGUGAAAGCUAGCAAGCCAUCUCCUGAUAUUUUCCUUACUAGCAAGCUUAAUGCGGAACACUUAUAUUUCAGUACUUGUUUGUUUAAUUGUGUUAUUUAUCUGCAGGUCUCUUCCUUGUCCAAAGUAUGUCGUACCUAAUCAAGACAUGUUCAUUUAAUUUACCCAUCAUGUAAAUGACACAACAUGAUUCACUUGUGUAUAGUGUAAAAAUAUAUUUAUUUAUGGCACACAGGUGUUCAAAUUAUAGUUGUGAAACGUGUAUAG